rnacentral:rRNA from 1 species
UACGUAGGGUGCAGGCGUUGUCCGGAAUUAUUGGGCGUAAAGAGCUCGUAGGCGGUUUGUCGCGUCUGCUGUGAAAACUCGGGGCUUAACUCCGGGCCUGCAGUGGGUACGGGCAGACUAGAGUGCGGUAGGGGAGACUGGAAUUCCUGGUGUAGCGGUGAAAUGCGCAGAUAUCAGGAGGAACACCGGUGGCGAAGGCGGGUCUCUGGGCCGUAACUGACGCUGAGGAGCGAAAGCGUGGGGAGCGAACAGG